GCGAAAGUGGCGGAACUGGCAGACGCGCAAGGCUCAGGACCUUGUGAGGGCAACCUCAUGGGGGUUCAAAUCCCCCCUUUCGCACCA
rnacentral:tRNA from 1 species